CUCAGUAGCCAUAUCACCCUGGAGCCCAAAACCAGUUUCCCACUGAAGCUAAGCAGGGCUGAGCCUGGUCAGUACCUGGAUGGGAGACCUCCUGGGAAAACUAGGUUGCUGCUGGAA
rnacentral:rRNA from 1 species